UUCCAAGGAGCAUGUCUUGCCAGCGAGCACAGUGCCGGCUCCUGGCCUCAGUGUCCUCUGUUCCAGCUCCUGUACCUUGAUGGGACACUCUGCAGUCCUGUCCAGGUCAUCUGAGACAGGUCCUGAGGGAGCUGCCAUGCUCUCCUUGACUCUCAGAGAGAACCCCAGCUGUGGACCCAGGGAAGAAGAGGGGCAGAGGGAUAUGCUAGUCUGGAGCCAGAAACUACAUCCUCCCCAGUCAGUGCUCCCCACAACACCAAGCUCCAGGAACCUAAGGCGCAGGCCUGGCACCCUGCAUCCGGCCUAGUCCAAUGUAGGUUGCUCUGGAGGAUCUUGCUCCACCCAAAGUCACUCAGGAACUGGAGACGCUUUCAUCAAUUGGUUCCACUAUAGUUUGGAUUGCAGAGUCCUACAAAAGAUGCUUUGCAUUCAGCUGGUAGCUGAAGGAGGAGAGAAAGAAUGGAUGCUUGUACAGGAAGUAACGUUAUUCACAUUGCUUCUGUCCUUAUUCCCUUGACCAGAGCUCAGUCACAUGAUCAUAGCAGAUUGUGGGAGUCUGGAAAAUAGUCUCUGACAUGGAUCCUUAUCUUAUUAGUAUUGAACCUUUCUAUUCUUUUUCAGAGUAAGCAUAUAAGCUACAAAUU